UUAAGAAUCUUGCGCAAUGGGGGCAACCCUGACGCAGCGGCGCCGCGUGGACGAUGAAGGCCUUCGGGUUGUAAAGUCCGAUAAGCAGGGAAGAAUAAGCAGCGGGAAAUAUUCGCUGUGAUGACGGUACCUGCCUAAAGCCCCGGCUAACUACGUGCCAGCAGCCGCGGUAAUACGUAUGGGGCUAGCGUUGUUCGGAAUUAUUGGGCGUAAAGGGCGUCUAGGCGGGGAAUUAAGUUAGGUGUGAAAUCCCUGGGCUCAACCCAGGAACUGCAUCUAAAACUGGUUCUCUUGAGUUCGGGAGAGGAGAGCGGAAUUCCCGGUGUAGCGGUGAAAUGCGUAGAUAUCGGGAAGAACACCAGUGGCGAAGGCGGCUCUCUGGCCUAGAACUGACGCUGAAGCGCGAAAGCGUGGGGAGCGAACG
rnacentral:rRNA from 1 species